GCGGGAGGAUGUGCGGUGAAGGACUUGGGGGAAUAACCAAACCCAGGCUGAUUUACAGACCUGGCCAGGGCAGGAAGAGCUGGGCUUCCCGGCCAUCGCUUCAGCAGAGGUCGCAAGGAAAAAGGUAAAUCAAUGAAAGGAUGUAGCCCUUCUUUUUACCAAAGAUUGGAGAGCAAAGCACAAGAUUACCUGCAAUGUCUCCCUCGUGGCCAAAAUCACUGUCUCAGCAGGGUCCAUCAGCCUCACAAGAGAGGAAUGAAAUCCUUUAUCAGCAUUGCCAAAAAAAAACCUCCAAACAGCGCAAACAUUAGAAAGCCCCAAUUAAAGUCAGCGAGCUGGCAGCUGCCCCGCGAUGAUUAAUGGGUUCACACAGCUCCCUGUGCCCUGGCUCAGCCACACCGAGCUAAUGUUUGAGAAUUUCAUAACCUGAGACACUGCUUUCAAAGACAGCCACGGCUGCCCCGUGAUUCCUCCAAGAGACAGGGGAAAUGAGAGCUCCGUUUUCUCUUUCUCAGACACUUCCUUAAGAACGGGGCACUGAACAGUGACUACUGACUCAGUGCUGGAACAUAUUGUCAACUGAAAUAAAGGACAAGGGGCCUUCCUGGUAAUGAGGAGGUUAGGCAGGGAAAACUGCUUCCAUAAUAAGAACUAACAACACAACAGGGAGGGGGUGCUGACAGCAAAGAAUACAGCAUCACAGCUGGAAAAACAUCAGCAGAAGGAAACAAAGAGAACCGUAAGUGGAUGAGGACAGUGCAUACAGCAGGAGCUGCCCAGGUUCCCUUCCCAGCUUUGGUGCCAUUGGUGGCUGAGGCGCUGCCCCGGCUUCUGCAGGGAAAAAGUGUGGGGCUCAGCUGUAAGUCACACACAUCUGCACUGCUGAACCACAGGGCUGAACAGCCACGUGCCGCAGAUGAGCGGCUGCCACACAGCAUGCAGGAGAUGCCGACUGCACAGAGCACAUACGUAUGGACCACUUCUCUGUGCAGCAUGAUGCUGCUGCCAAAAGUGCCUCUUGUAUUCAGUACCACCUGUAUCUAUUAAAUGCG
ensembl:lncRNA